rnacentral:rRNA from 1 species
CCUANGGGAGGCUGCAGUGGGGAAUAUUGCGCAAUGGGCGAAAGCCUGACGCAGCGACGCCGCGUGGAGGAUGAAGGUUUUCGGAUUGUAAACUCCUGUUAAGUGGGAAGAAAGCUUUGCCUUUAAUAGAGGCAGAUUAUGACGGUACCAUUAGAGAAAGCACCGGCUAACUUCGUGCCAGCAGCCGCGGUAAUACGAGGGGUGCAAGCGUUAUUCGGAUUUACUGGGCGUAAAGAGUGCGUAGACGGUUUAUCAAGUCUGCUGUUAAAUUCCUCGGCUUAACCGAGGCUCAGCAGUAGAAACUGAUAGGCUGGAGUGUGGGAGAGAGAAGUGGAAUUCCCGGAGUAGCGGUAAAAUGCGUAGAUCUCGGGAGGAACACCGAUGGCGAAGGCAGCUUCUUGGACCAUUACUGACGUUGAGGCACGAAAGCGUGGGGAGCAAACAGGAUUAGAUACCCUANUANUC